rnacentral:rRNA from 1 species
AAUAAAUGCUAUCGGUAUGCUUAACACAUGCAAGUUUAAUGUUUUAAAAACAUAGCGAACGGGUGAGUAACACGUGAAUUAUCUACCUUUUAAUUCAGAAUAAUUAUUUUUAUAAAAAUACUGAAUAAAUAAAUUAAAGUUUUUUAACGUUAAAAGAUGAGUUUGCGCAAGAUUAUGGUAGUUGGCUGUUUAAAAGACUCCCAAGCCUCUGAUCUUUAGCUGGUUUGAAAGAAUGAUCAGCCACAUUGGGACUGAGACACGGCCCAAACUUUUUUAAAGGCAGCAGUGAGGAAUUUUGGACAAUGAGCGACAGCUUGAUCCAGCAAUACGGAGUGAGUGAUGAAGGCUAAUUAGGUUGUAAAACUCUUUCAUUAAGGAGGAAAAUGACAGUACUUAAAAAAGAAGUUCCGGCUAAUACCCGUGCCAGCAGCCGCAGUAAAAC